rnacentral:rRNA from 1 species
GGGGCUGAAGUAGGUCCCAAGGGUAUGGCUGUUCGCCAUUUAAAGUGGUACGCGAGCUGGGUUUAGAACGUCGUGAGACAGUUCGGUCCCUAUCUGCCGUGGGCGCUGGAGAAUUGAGGGGGGCUGCUCCCAGUACGAGAGGACCGGAGUGGACGCAUCACUGGUGUUCGGGUUGUCAUGCCAAUGGCACUGCCCGGUAGCUAAAUGCGGAAGAGAUAAGUGCUGAAAGCAUCUAAGCACGAAACUUGCCCCGAGAUGAGUUCUCCCUGAGACUAUAAGUCUCCUGAAGGAACGUUGAAGACGACGACGUUGAUAGGCCGGGUGUGUAAGCGCAGCGAUGCGUUGAGCUAACCGGUACUAAUGAACCGUGAGGCUUAACCUU